UACGAAGGGGGCGAGCGUUGUUCGGAAUCACUGGGCGUAAAGGGCUCGUAGGCGGUCCAUCGCGUCGGGAGUGAAAAGCUGGGGCUCAACCCCAGCCUGCUUUCGAUACGGGCGGACGUGGAGUACUGCAGGGGAGACUGGAAUUCCUGGUGUAGCGGUGAAAUGCGCAGAUAUCAGGAGGAACACCGGUGGCGAAGGCGGGUCUCUGGGCAGUAACUGACGCUGAGGAGCGAAAGCGUGGGGAGCGAGCAGG
rnacentral:rRNA from 1 species